CCUACGGGGGGCAGCAGUGAGGAAUAUUGGUCAAUGGGCGCGAGCCUGAACCAGCCAAGUAGCGUGAAGGAUGACUGCCCUACGGGUUGUAAACUUCUUUUAUAAAGGAAUAAAGUGAGGCACGUGUGCCUUUUUGUAUGUACUUUAUGAAUAAGGAUCGGCUAACUCCGUGCCAGCAGCCGCGGUAAUACAUAGGGGGCAAGCGUUAUCCGGAAUUAUUGGGUGUAAAGGGUGCGUAGACGGAAGAACAAGUUGGUUGUGAAAUCCCUCGGCUCAACUGAGGAACUGCAACCAAAACUAUUCUC
rnacentral:rRNA from 1 species